AGUGGCAAACGGCUGAGUAACGCGUAGGAACCUACCCCAAACUCGAGUAUAGCCCCGCGAAAGCGGGGGUAAUCCUCGAUAGCCCGUGAAGUAUCUUACUUCACGGUAAAGCUUUUGCGGUUUGGGAUGGGCCUGCGUCCUAUCAGGUAGUUGGUGAGGUAAAUGCUCACCAAGCCUAUGACGGGUAGCUGGUCUGAGAGGAUGGUCAGCCAGACUGGGACUGCGACACGGCCCAGACUCCUACGGGAGGCAGCAACUAGGAAUUGUGCGCAAUGGACGAAAGUCUGACGCCGCGACAUCGCGUGGAGGAUGAAGGUCUUCGGAUUGUAAACUCCUUUUCUUACCGAACAAGUUCUGAGUGUAGGUAAGGAAUAAGUGCCUGCUAACCACGUGCCAGAAGCAUCGGUAAUACGUGGGGCACGAGCGUUAUCCGGAUUUACUGGGCGUAAAGAGAAGCGUAGGCGGCUCAAUAAGUUUGGUGUUAAAUCUUCCGGCUCAACCGGAAACAAGCACCGAAAACUAUCGAGAUUGAGUCGAGUAGGGAAGAGGGGAAUUCCUGGUGGAGCGGUUAAAUGCGUAGAUAUCAGGAGGAAUACCAAGGGCGAAGGCACCUCUUUGGACUCGUACUGACGCUGAGGCUCGAAAGCGUGGGUAGCAAAACGGAUUAGAUACCCGUGUAGUCCACGCCGUAAACGAUCCCUGUUAGAUGUAUGUUUUGUC
rnacentral:rRNA from 1 species